rnacentral:rRNA from 1 species
GACGAACGCUGGCGGCGUGCUUAACACAUGCAAGUCGAACGGAAAGGCCCUUCUUUUGUGGGGUGCUCGAGUGGCGAACGGGUGAGUAACACGUGAGUAACCUGCCCUUGACUUUGGGAUAACUUCAGGAAACUGGGGCUAAUACCGGAUAGGAGCUCCUGCUGCAUGGUGGGGGUUGGAAAGUUUCGGCGGUUGGGGAUGGACUCGCGUCUUAUCAGCUUGUUGGUGGGGUAGUGGCUUACCAAGGCUUUGACGGGUAGCCGGCCUGAGAGGGUGACCGGCCACAUUGGGACUGAGAUACGGCCCCGACUCAUACGGGAGGCAGCAGUGGGGAAUAUUGCACAAUGGGCGGAAGCCUGAUGCAGCAACGCCGCGUGCGGGAUGACGGCCUUCGGGUUGUAAACCGCUUUCGCCUGUGACGAAGCGUGAGUGACGGUAAUGGGUAAAGAAGCACCGGCUAACUACGUG